rnacentral:rRNA from 1 species
AUUGAACGCUGGCGGCAGGCCUAACACAUGCAAGUCGAGCGGAUGAGGAAAGCUUGCUUUUCGAUUCAGCGGCGGACGGGUGAGUAAUGCCUAGGAAUCUGCCUGUUAGUGGGGGAUAACUCGGGGAAACUCGGGCUAAUACCGCAUACGUCCUACGGGAGAAAGUGGGGGAUCUUCGGACCUCACGCUAACAGAUGAGCCUAGGUCGGAUUAGCUAGUAGGUGAGGUAAUGGCUCACCUAGGCGACGAUCCGUAACUGGUCUGAGAGGCUGGUAAGUACCACGGGAGCUGAGACCCGGGCCAGACGCCGACGGGAGGGAGCAGUGGGGAAGAUUGGACAAUGGGCGAAAGCCUGAUCCAGCCAUGCCGCGUGUGUGAAGAAGGUCUUCGGAUUGUAAAGCACUUUAAGUUGGGAGGAAGGGUAUUCACCUAAUACGUGGGUACUUUGACGUUACCAACAGAAUAAGCACCGGCUAACUCUGUGCCAGCCGCCGCAGUAAUAC